rnacentral:hammerhead_ribozyme from 1 species
GCACUGCUGAAGAGUCCCUCACUAGGAUGAAACAGCUGUCCAGUAC